CUGGUUUGGUAUUUUAUAGACAGCCAAGAUCAACACAUCACAGAAUUGCACAGGCAACUGGCUGUCAUUCCUUUGAGUAAGAAACUAAAGGUAAUCCUUCAAAAUGAAGGAUUUUCCAUGUUUAACAAGCACUCCAGAAGUUCAGAGAUUUUCAUAAGUUAAUACUACUCUUGACCACCUAAGCCUCAACACAGCAAAAGUAUCUUAUUUUGAAGGCUGAAUUCCAGUAGUUGAAGCACAGGAAAUGAAAGCUGUAUUCAAAAUAUCUGCAAUGGCAUUAAAACUCAUCAUAGAGAGGCACAGUUUUAGAAAUAAUGUUCAAAAUGAUGGUUUUCUCCAGCAAAAAGAGAAAAAGACAGCUGCAAAGAUUAUGAAGGAGAAAAGAAGACAUGAAAAAUGUAAGAUGUGGAGCAUCACUUCCCAAACUGAUAUUUUUUUCAGUAGUUCCAUCAGCUUGCGUAUUUGUUCCCAAGUAAUGACACUGAUCCAGUAUUGAUCAGGAAGAGGG
ensembl:lncRNA